UGAGCAAUUGCUAGGUGUCUAAAGAACAACUUUCUCAAAUUGUACUUCGAGCUUAUAUUGAAUUGGGCUUAAUAUUAAUACACCCACAUGACAAGAUGGCUUAAAGCCCAAAAUAGUUCAAACAAAAAAACACUCGUCGCACACAGGUCAGCUUCUCCGGCAGUGGCUUAUAGGGUUUACCUUACCCCCGUCGUGAAGAACCUCACUCUCUCUUUCAUCUUCGAAAUCUCAACUAAUACAUGGCUGAAGUUAACGCUAACCCCGAACUUCCUCAAAACAUGACCAUCUACAUCAACAACCUCAACGAAAAAAUCAAAAUCGAUGAGUUGAAGAGAUCUUUGCACGCUGUUUUCAGCCAAUUUGGAAAGAUACUUGAGGUUUUGGCUUUCAAGACUCUGAAACAUAAGGGUCAAGCUUGGGUGAUUUUUGAGGAUGUUACAUCACAUAAUUUUAUUUUUGUGUGCUAAAUAAAUCUAAAAUAUAAUUUUAUCCACAAACUUGCGACAAAGCUAGCUUAAUUGAACCUAUUAGUAGUUGUUCACAACAAAAGUGGAUUGUGGUUCAUGCAAAUUUUACUUACAAUGUCAAAGAUAUAAAUCUUGGUUUAACACUAUAAGGUAUG